CGCAGCCGCGGUAAUUCCAGCUCCAAUAGCGUAUAUUAAAGUUGUUGCAGUUAAAAAGCUCGUAGUUGAAUUUCGGGGUUAGCAGGUCGGUCGUGCCAUCGGUAUGAACUGGUCUCGCUGAUCCCUCCCUCUUGACGAACUGUGAUGCCAUUAAUUUGGUGUCGCAGGGAAUCAGGACUGUUACUUUGAAAAAUUAGAGUGUUUAAAGCAGGCUCACGCUUGAAUACAUUAGCAUGGAAUAAUGAAAUAGGACGUUUGAUCCUAUUUUGUUGGCUUCUAGGAUUGACGUAAUGAUUAAUAGGGAUAGUUGGGGGCAUUAGUAUUCAAUUGUCAGAGGUGAAAUUCUUGGAUUUAUUGAAGACUAACUACUGCGAAAGCAUUUGCCAAGGAUGUUUUCAUUAAUCAAGAACGAAAGUUAGGGGAUCGAAGACGAUCAGAUACCGUCGUAGUCUUAACCAUAAACUAUGCCGACUAGGGAUCGGAUGAUGUUAAUUUUUAAUGACUCAUUCC
rnacentral:misc_RNA from 1 species